GAUGAACGCUGGCGGCGUGCCUAAUACAUGCAAGUCGAACGAAUCUUCUUCGGAAGAUGAGUGGCGAACGGGUGAGUAAUGCAUAGGUGACCUGCCCCUGUGCGGGGGAUAACAGGAGGAAACUCCUGCUAAUACCGCAUAGCCAUGAGCACCGCAUGGAGCUCAUGCCAAAUAUCCUUUCGGGGAUAGCGCAGGGAUGGACCUGUGGCGCAUUAGCUGGUUGGCGGGGCAACGGCCCACCAAGGCAACGAUGCGUAGCCGGCCUGAGAGGGCGGACGGACACAUUGGGACGGAGACACGGCCCAGACUCCUACGGGAGGCAGCAGUAGGGAAUUUUCGGCAAUGGGGGAAACCCUGACCGAGCAACGCCGCGUGAGCGAAGAAGGCCUUCGGGUCGUAAAGCUCUGUUGUAAAGGAAGAACGGCGCGUACAGGAAAUGGUAUGCGAGUGACGGUACUUUACCAGAAAGCCACGGCUAACUACGUGCCAGCCGCCGCCGUAA
rnacentral:rRNA from 1 species